UACAGAGGGGGGCAAGCGUUGUUCGGAAUUACUGGGCGUAAAGGGCGCGUAGGCGGCCUUCUAAGUCGAACGUGAAAUCCCCGGGCUCAACCCGGGAACUGCGUCCGAUACUGGAAGGCUUGAAUCCGGGAGAGGGAUGCGGAAUUCCAGGUGUAGCGGUGAAAUGCGUAGAUAUCUGGAGGAACACCGGUGGCGAAGGCGGCAUCCUGGACCGGCAUUGACGCUGAGGCGCGAAAGCCAGGGGAGCAAAGCGGG
rnacentral:rRNA from 1 species